rnacentral:rRNA from 1 species
GAUGAACGCUGGCGGCGUGCUUAAUACAUGCAAGUCGAACGAAGGUUGUAGCAAUACAUCCUUAGUGGCGAACGGGUGAGUAACGCGUUGGUGACCUGCCCCGAAGUGCGGGAUAACAGUCCGAAAGGAUUGCUAAUACCGCAUGGUUUCAUUUGGAUUAGAUGCCAGAUGAGCAAAGGCGAAAGUCGCUUCGGGAGGGGCUUGCGUCCCAUCAGCUAGUUGGUAGGGUAAUGGCCUACCAAGGCAAUGACGGGUAGGGGACCUGAGAGGGUGGCCCCCCACAAUGGAACUGAAACACGGUCCAUACACCUACGGGUGGCAGCAGUAGGGAAUAUUGGUUAAUGUGCGAAAGCGCGAACCAGCAACGCCGCGUGCACGAUGAAGGCCUUCGGGUUGUAAAGUGCUUUUUGAGAGGAUGAGGAAGGACAGUACUCUUAGAAUAAGCUUCGGCUAACUACGUG